ensembl:lncRNA
AUGAGCAUGUCCACUGGAGGAGUAGUGCCAGCUCCGCUCUGCCAGGGCUUUCUGAAGAAACGGAAAGACAAAAUGAGGCUUCGGUGGAUGACUUACUGGUUCAGACUUUACAAUACAACUCUCUUUUUCUACACUAAAAAACAUGGGAGUGCUAUAGACCUCAGAGGCCAGUAUUACAUAUAUGAGAUUCAGUCUGUGCGGGAGGUCAGCAGAUCUGAGAGCAAUCACUAUCUAUUUGAGAUCACAAUGAAAAAUGGGAAGAAGAAAAUGCUGGCAGCAGAUACAGCUGAUGUCAGGCAGGAGUGGAUGGAGCAGCUGUGGAAAGCCAUGCUGCUCAAUGGCCCUGACAGAUCUGGAUCUAUCACUAAUGGGGAGCUGCUGCCAGAUAACAACCUUGAAAUUCGGUCAAGCCAUUGUGAAGAAUCAAGUACUGAGACCAGCAGCACUUCAGUGGACAGAUGUCUCUCCAUUGAUCAAGAGUCAUUCUUCGCUGGUACUGUCUGCAUUCGGGUUGCUGAUGAGACACAAGACAGUUUGCACACAAAAAAUGAAAUGGAGCAAAGUACUGAGGAGUUUUUACUGACGGACCAUGACUACGAUGUUUUACCAUCUCGAAUAGGAACUCACAGCAGUGGUGAGAGGCCUGAGAGUGGGGGUCUUCUGAGAGACAUGAUUGCCUGUUUGGAUAGUGAAUCUGCUGCUUGGGUCAAACCUACUCCUCUAUGAACCUCAUGGGUCAUUUUGAGCAAGACUGAGAUGAUGAUAAAUGUUUGUUGUUGCAGUAAACCUUAAUAUUGUUUAUGAUAAUUCUGUUUGCCAUCCUAACUGUCAUCACUUAUGUAGAACAAUGACUACAUUGUUGAAUUUCACACCGUCCCUGAUCAUUUAAGCUAAAUAACGAAGUGUCAACACAUCUUUUGUCCUGUCACAAAUCAAAAUAAUGAAUUAACUAUCAAACAAAUUAACUUUUGGACAGAAUUUUUAAACCUGUUGUUUUACAGAUUUGCAAGACAAAUCUAUUUAAAGGGUUCACCCAAAAAUUCAAUUUCUGUCAUUAUUUAAUCACCCUCAUGUCAUUCCAAACCUGUAAGACCUUAGUUUAUUUUUGGAAAACAAAUGAAAAUAUUUUUGAUGAAAUCUGAGAGCUUUCUGGCCCUCCAUAGACAGCAAUGCUGAAAUGUUCCCAGACUCAGAAAAGUAGUAAGGGCAUUGUUAAAACGGUCCAUGUGAUAUCAGUGGUGGAUCCUCAGUUUUACAAAGCUACGAGAAUAGUUUUUGUGUGAAAAAAAAAUAAUUAAAUAAAAUAAGUAAUGACUUUAUUCA